rnacentral:ncRNA from 3 species
AUAGGGUUCGGGGAUGGAGUUCCCCAUCAACCGCCGCAAAGGCUGAUAACUCCUACCAGAAC